UACAGAGACUGCGAGCGUUAUUCGGAUUCACUGGGCGUAAAGGGUGCGUAGGUGGUGAGGUAAGUCGGAUGUGAAAUCUCCAAGCUCAACUUGGAAAUGGCAUUGGAAACUACCUUGCUGGAGGUUUGGAGGGGGGACUGGAAUUCUCGGUGUAGCAGUGAAAUGCGUAGAUAUCGAGAGGAACACCAGUGGCGAAGGCGAGUCCCUGGACAAAACCUGACACUGAGGCACGAAAGCUAGGGGAGCAAACAGG
rnacentral:rRNA from 1 species